UACGGAGGGGGCUAGCGUUGUUCGGAAUUACUGGGCGUAAAGCGCACGUAGGCGGCUUUGUAAGUUAGAGGUGAAAGCCCAGGGCUCAACUCUGGAAUUGCCUUUAAGACUGCAUCGCUUGAAUCAUGGAGAGGUGAGUGGAAUUCCGAGUGUAGAGGUGAAAUUCGUAGAUAUUCGGAAGAACACCAGUGGCGAAGGCGACUCACUGGACAUGUAUUGACGCUGAGGUGCGAAAGCGUGGGGAGCAAACAGG
rnacentral:rRNA from 1 species